GGCAGCAGUGGGGAAUAUUGCACAAUGGGCGCAAGCCUGAUGCAGCCAUGCCGCGUGAAUGAUGAAGGCCUUAGGGUUGUAAAAUUCUUUCGCCAGGGAUGAUAAUGACAGUACCUGGUAAAGAAGCCCCGGCUAACUUCGUGCCAGCAGCCGCGGUAAUACGAAGGGGGCUAGCGUUGUUCGGAAUUACUGGGCGUAAAGCGCACGUAGGCGGACUUUUAAGUCAGAUGUGAAAUCCCGAGGCUCAACCUCGGAACUGCAUUUGAAACUGGGAGUCUAGAGAUCAGGAGAGGUUAGCGGAAUACCGAGUGUAGAGGUGAAAUUCGUAGAUAUUCGGUGGAACACCAGUGGCGAAGGCGGCUAACUGGACUGAUACUGACGCUGAGGUGCGAAAGUGUGGGGAGCAAACAGGAUUAGAUACCCUGGUAGUCCACACCGUAAACGAUGAGUGCUAGUUGUCUGCAGGCAUGCCUGUAGGUGACGCAGCUAACGCAUUAAGCACUCCGCCUGGGGAGUACGGCCGCAAGGUUAAAACUCAAAGAAAUUGACGGGGGCCCGCACAAGCGGUGGAGCAUGUGGUUUAAUUCGAAGCAACGCGCAGAACCUUACCUACGCUUGACAUGCCCGGACGAUUUCCAGAGAUGGAUCUCUCCCUUCGGGGCCGGUGCACAGGUGCUGCAUGGCUGUCGUCAGCUCGUGUCGUGAGAUGUUGGGUUAAGUCCCGCAACGAGCGCAACCCUCAUCCUUAGUUGCCAUCACGUUUGGGUGGGCACUCUAGGGAAACUGCCGGUGCUAAGCCGGAGGAAGGCGGGGAUGACGUCAAGUCCUCAUGGCCCUUACGCGUAGGGCUACACACGUGCUACAAUGGCAGUGACAAUGGGAUAAUCCCCAAAAGCUGUCUCAGUUCGGAUUGUCGGCUGCAACUCGCCGGCAUGAAGUUGGAAUCGCUAGUAAUCGUGGAUCAGCAUGCCACGGUGAAUACGUUCCCGGGCCUUGCACACACCGCCCGUC
rnacentral:rRNA from 1 species